GUAACCCCAUAGGGUGACAAGCAGCAUUGAUGAGCACCGAUCUCCCUUAGAGGAGAGUCCCAUCAGUGACGAAUCCGCCCGCAGAGUAGACAAAGAGGCCGCCAUCAGCUGCCCUGUCCGACGGCCACAAAACAAUUCUUCAUGCAAACGUUGUAAAGACCGCGUUCUCUCCUUUGCCGAGCGGCAAUGGCAAAAUCUUUAGGGCGGCGCUCUUACUCUGCUAAUCGAAUACUUGACGAAGCAGUCUGAGGUUGCUGUCGCGGCUGCUAAGGACAAUAGAACCAAGACGGCAGUAGAGGAUAGCGAUGCCAACACUAAUGCCCUGCCAAUAGUGAAAAUUGCAGAAGGGUUGCAUUGCACAUCAGGAGUUUAAACCCUAGAGAAAUUAUUGCAUUCUGUAAAAAAGGAAAACGUCAUCUAUAUAUUCUAUUCUCCUUUCAUAAACUUCUCAACAUGUGAUUUUUUUCUUUCCCUUUUCUAGCAUGUUUUAAAGUCUUAUUGAGAGGAAAAUGAUAUAGAACUUUCAAAGCUCAUAAAGGCGAUAAAACUUUUGACAAAGUUCACCUGAAAGCAAUAAUUGUCUAAUACUACACACUUAAGCUGCCAGGCUUAUUUCUUAUGCUGUAACGCUAGCAGCAGAAAUAGGAAGUUUAUUUUUUAUUAGCACUUUGCCAGAUUGGGAAUGGAGCAAACACACCAACAUUCAAAGGAGGGAACAUGACCAUAAAUAUUCAUUGUAUACGGCAAACAUGCUUAACGUUUAGGAUUAACAAGAUAGAAAAUCUUCUCUAGAAACAAGGUAGAGCUACCCUAUUGCAGAUAUUGAAAGUGUAAGUCAAUGAAGAAUAUACUUUAGGUCUUUCAAAAUGAAACAGAAACUUCACAAACUCCUGUCUAUCUCCCCUCAAAAUUAGAGAUAGUUACUUUAUUGAUGGAAGAUAAUUCAUCAUUUUUUGGAGUUUGCUCUGCUGCAUGAGACAUGGUUUGCCUGAGGACGAAUGCAGGUUGGUUUGGGAGAGGAACUUCCAUAAUCUCACUAUGAAGCAUUGACAUUACAGAGGCCAUUGUGGGCCUAUCUUUCGCAAGUUCUUGCACGCACAAAAUCCCAGUAUGUAUGCACUGGAAUAUGUCCUUGCCAAAGCUUGGAUCAUAUAUUUGUGGAUCUACUAGAGGCAUCAUAUUGUCAUCAAUUCAUAAUUUCCAUGUCUAGAAACAAGAACAAGUAAAAAUGAUAGGUGUUUAGCUUCAAUGUUAUAUUAGGCUUAAGGCAAUUUAAAGCUUUUGCAAGAAAGGAAGGUGAAAAUUGGAGAGGCUUACAAAUCCUAGAAGUUUGAAAUAUUUUGCAUCUUCACAAAAGUUAGUGUUUUUUCUUCCACUAAUAAUCUCCAACAGCAAAACACCAAAGCUAAAGACAUUAGAUUUCUCCAAAUAGAGUCCUUCUGUUGCAUAUUUUGGAGAAAUAUGGCCACUACAUUUAUAAACUACAUCUUUGAGAUCUCACUAUGCUAAUAAUAUAAUUAUCACGAACAAAGGAAAAGGAGCACUUACUAUGUUCCAACAAUUCUUUUUGUAUUUACUUGAUUGUCACUACCUUUAAAAAGUUUAGCCAUUCCAAAAUCUGAUAUCUUUGGAUUCAUUUCCUCAUCCAAUAACAUGUUACUUGCCUUCAAAUCUUUGUGUAUAAUUUGUAAUCUUGAAUCUCUGUGAAGACAGAGCAAUCCUCUAGCUAUUCCCUCAAUUAUGGUGAAGCGCUUUCUCCAAUCUAAGGAUUUUUGUUUCAAUGGAUCUGCAAAAGAUAGUUUGAGUAAGAUGUGAUGAAAGUAGAUGUUCAUAAGAAGACACUUUACUCACUUCCUACAUUAUGAUAGUUGGUGGUGUUAUAUAUGGUAUGCGAGGUAAUUACUUGUAUCUUAACUAUUUGUAUUAAUAAACCACUUUACUUGUUCAUAGACUCCAUUGAACCUACACAUCAUGAGAUAUAAAACCUCACAUGAUCUUACAAAAUUAGGAAGUAUUGCUACAAAUGUCAACAAAGUGGUAGCAUUAGGUAAAAUAAACGUUGAAGUACCAUACUGUUAUUUCUUCAAGUAUUCUUAAACAAUCAAGUUUUCAUUUUUCUCUUCGAUUCAUCCUAUCCAAAGCAUAUAGAAACAUCCAUUUAGUAAACGGUUAUAUGCAUGGAGGAUUGGCACUAACCAAAGAUGUAUGUAUCCAAACUUUUGUUUGGCAUGUAUUCAUAAACCAAUAUCUCUUUUUCAAUGCAACAUCCAAGAAGUCUAACAAGGUUUCGGUGUUGAAGCUUAGAGAUCAACUCCACUUCAUUUAUAAAUUCAUCCAUACCCUGUCAUGAUAAUCUUGAUAUAGUUUUUUUACUGCUAUUUCCUGCCCAGCUUCCAAUGUCCCCUGAAAUAAGAUGAUAAAGAACAUUAAUUUCUUAUGAACUGAAGGAUAAUGAAGUUCAAAAAGAAUGAAAAUCACCUUGUAAACUGGACCAAAACCAGCCUGUCCAAGUUUGUUUGAUAUGUCAAAGUUAUUUGUUGCAGUUUCCAACUUUCUCUGAAAAAAAUGAUAGAUCUGGAAUAUGGACUUCCUUCAGGGGCAUCAUCCUUGUUAUGUCUUGAGUCUGCACCUUCGUUUCCCCUGAGUUUCACAGUUUCCCCAUUUUAUUUCCUCAAAAAACAUAUAUUGCUAUUCUGAUACUAGGUUCCAAGAGCUGAGUUAACUAUAUGAAGUUCUCGCAUAUUCUGUAUCAAAAUGAUGAAACUCAUGUUGGAGGGAUUAUCUAAGAUGACAAUGCUAGGAUUGUAUCCUAUCUAAACAAUCAGAAAGAAGAUCACCCAUCCCUUGAAUGAACACUUCUGGUAAACUUGAAAAUUACCUUUUUGGUUUGAGCAUUUUUCCCAUAGGAAAUAUCCAGACACCAUAAUGAGAAUUUUUCCAAUCAAAACUGAUAUUAUAAUAGGCAUUGUCAUCUUCCUCUUGCCUAUGCCUGUAUCAAAGAAAAGAAACAUUCAGAGAUUCUUCAUUUUCUGACAAUAACGUCAUGACUAUACCACGUAUAUUAUCAUCAACAAACGAUUAAAAAAAAAAAAAAUAAAGCUCCUAAAGUAUUUGUCGUAACACUUGUUUUGCGAGCAAGCACCUUGCUUGGUAACUCCUUUUUUGAAAGAAAAUUGCUCCCACAUUUCAUAAUGCUUUUGAAGAAUUUUAAAAAUGAGAAGUAACAUCUCUCCCAAUGAUAUAUGACAUAACAUGUAAACAGCCACGCAACAAGCUUGUAGAGCUUAGGUGAAAUUUAAAGUUGAACCAAAUCCUGGUUGAGUGUUGAAGACAUGUUGGGCAGUAAACAAGUGUGUUAGGGUAUUUUAAAGAGCUUUCUCUAAUUAAAAUAGAUACCUAGUUCUGAGUAGGCUAAACGUAUGUAAACAUCAAUCUCUUGGUCUGGUAAGCCUGUAAGUCAAGUAAAUCUCCAUACUAAAUCAUACAGCCAAGGUUUCUUUCAUGGGCAUGAGCGAUACAAGAGCAAUUCUUGAGGCAUGCAGUUUGACAGUCUACAAUAGCCUCAGAGAAAGAAGGUAACACUUGUGCAUCAUCUGGUAAUUUCACUCUCUCCAGCAUCCAAAACCCAUCUAUUUUGCUAGCUCGAGAAUCAUUUUUGUCACUCUCACACUUAAGUGCUUCUCUUCUGACACACCCAGUGGUCCAGUUCUGCCUUCCCCAUUCUUCUUUGUUCCUUGGUUUAAACCCUCUCAAGCAGCUGCAAAUUGGGGAGCUCUACAAAUUACAAAUCCCGAAUGGACCACAUUUGCCAUAAACAUCACACUCUGAAGAACCAAUUAUCCUCAUAAGUUCCAAUCUAUUAGUCUGGGAAUUCCAGCGCCGUUGUUCUAGUUUACCUUGAGGAUUUAAGGUUUAAGUCUCAAAAGACCUGUCUGAAAAAAAAUAGUUCCAAAGUCUCUCCUUCUUCUUGCAUUUGAAACCCAUCCUUGUAGUUAAUUGAAUUUGUCCUUCGGACCCCAGCAAAGUCUGCGCCAUCCCAGGGACCAGUUCGAAAAUAAGGACGAUUUUCUUUCCACACAAAUACUUCAGUCACAUUACGGGCUUCAAGAGAGCAAGAAAAUUCUCCAUAAGAUGGAUCAGAUGCACUUCUCCAAGAUGUAAGUUUCACUUUCUAACCUGUUCUUUUAUUAAUUUUGGCUUUCAUGUAUGGUAAUAAUGUAUUGCCAGGAUGUUGGCAACUAUGCCACACGGAUACUCCUGUAAUUCCAUCAGCAAGGACUAGGUUGCCAGAAUCCAAGAGUUGAGCACUGGAGUUUGAGGCAACUUGUGAGACGUUUGUUGACCAAAGAACCUGUUUUUGACCAUUCAAAACAACAAGAUUGCCAUUUUCUGAUAUUGUCAGAAUCCCAAAAGAAUCUGUUAGUGGGUUGUUUCUGUUAGCAACCCAAACAAUAGAGGAUUUGGACAUGUACCAAAUUCCCACGUAGCGAUUGGUGAAAUUUUGAGGACUGAAUAAUCCAAGUGUGAACAUGUUGUUACUUGACCUCACUGUUUCAGGUUCUUGGAUUGACACAGAUGAUGAAAUGGAGUCCGAGGCACGGCCCACAUAUGUCAAAGAGAACGAGCAUGCAAGGAAAGCACGUAACAAACAACCUUUUUUAUUGAAUCCCAUGAAGAACAUCAUGAUUAUCGGAAAUUGAAGAAGAUAAUAGGUUUCAGAAUGCAGUGAAGGGUAACUAAUAUAACAUUGUAUUUUGAACUUUCUAGUUUUUCUGAAGCUGUCACUAUUCCUUGGGGAAGAAAAACACCUGCAAAAAUUUGGAAUUUUCGUUGAGUUAGUUGCCAAUGACUGUCACUUUUCAUUGUACAACUGUUGAAUCCUCCUAUUAAUCAAUCCUUGUCUUCUAAACAAGUUGUAAACAAUAGAAUUUCCACACAUAUUCCUCUGAACUAUUGUCAUUUUCUCAAA